rnacentral:rRNA from 1 species
UACGGAGGGAGCUAGCGUUGUUCGGAAUUACUGGGCGUAAAGCGCACGUAGGCGGAUGUGUCAGUCAGGGGUGAAAUCCCGGAGCUCAACUUCGGAACUGCCUUUGAUACAGCACGUCUUUGAGUCCGAUAGAGGUGGGUGGAAUUCCUAGUGUAGAGGUGAAAUUCGUAGAUAUUAGGAAGAACACCGGUGGCGAACGGCGGCC